UGUCCAAAACCUUUGUAGGAACUGUUUUCCAACCUUUUGGAGUUAGUUAGACCAAAUAAAAAUGAAAAAUGAAAAAAAAAUAUUUGGGGUGUUUUGGCUUCCUGAAGGUAAUACCCGGGUAUUAAGAUUUGGGGCUAGGGUUAGGUUUAAGGUUUUGGCGUUAGGGUUUAAAUCACUGUCCAAAACGUUUGUAGGAACUCUUUUCCAACCUUUUGGAGUUAGUUAGACCAAAAAGAAAUGAAAAAUGAAAAAAAAAUAUUUGUGGUGUUCGGGCUUCCUGAAGAUAAUACAUGGGUAUUAGGUUUUGGGGCUAGGGAAAGGUUUAAGGUUUUUGGCGUUAGGGUUAAAAUCACUGUCCAAAACCUUUGUAGGAACUCUUUUCCAACCAUUUGGAGUUAGUUAGACCAAAUAAAAAUGAAAAAUGAAAAAAAAAUAUUUGGCUUGUUUUGGCUUCCUGAAGAUAAUGCACGGGUAUUAGGUUUUGGGGCUAGGGUAAGGUUUAAGGUUUUUGGCGUUAGGGUUAAAAUCACUGUCCAAAACCUUUGUAGGAACUAUUUUCCAAGCUUUGGGAGUUAGUUAGACCAAAAAGAAAUGAAAAAUGAAAAAAAAAUAUUUGGGGUGUUCGGGCUUCCUGAAGGUAAUACCCGGGUAUAAGUUUUGGGGCUAUGGUAAGGUUUAAGGUUUUUGGCGUUAGGGUUAAAAUCACUGUCCAAAACCUUUGUAGGAACUCUUUUCCAACCUUUUGGAGUUAGUUACACCAAAUAAAAAUGAAAAAUGAAAAAAAAUAUAUUUGGGGUGUUUGGGCUUCCUGAAGGUAAUACCCGGGUAUUAGGUUAUGGGGCUGGGGUAAGGUUUAAGGUUUUUGGCGUUAGGGUUAAAAUCACUGUCCAAAACCUUUGUAGUAACUCUUUUCCAACCUUUUGGAGUUAGUUACACCAAAUAAAAAUGAAAAAUGAAAAAAAAUAUAUUUGGGGUGUUUGGGCUUCCUGAAGGUAAUACCCGGGUAUUAAGAGUUGGGGCUAGGGUAAGGUUUAAGGUUUUGGCGUUAGGGUUAAAAUCACUGUCCAAAACCUUUGUAGGAUCUCUUUUCCAACCUUUGGGAGUUAGUUAGACCAAAUAAAAAUGAAAAAUGAAAAAAAAAUAUUUGGGGUGUUUGGGCUUCCUGAAGGUAAUACCCGGGUAUUAAGAUUUGGGGCUAGGGUAAGGUUUAAGGUUUUGGCGUUAGGGUUUAAAUCACUGUCCAAAACCUUUGUAGGAACUGUUUUCCAACCUUUUGGAGUUAGUUAGACCAAAUAAAAAUGAAAAAUGAAAAAAAAUAUAUUUGGGGUGUUUGGGCUUCCUGAAGGUAAUACCCGGGUAUUAAGAGUUGGGGCUAGGGUAAGGUUUAAGGUUUUGGCGUUAGGGUUUAAAUCACUGUCCAAAACCUUUGUAGGAACUGUUUUCCAACCUUUUGGAGUUAGUUAGACCAAAUAAAAAUGAAAAAAACAAUAUUUGGCUUGUUUUGGCUUCCUGAAGAUAAUGCACGGGUAUUAGGUUAUGGGGCUAUGGUAAGGUUUAAGGUUUUUGGCGUUAGGGUUAAAAUCACUGUCCAAAACCUUUGUAGGAUCUCUUUUCCAAGCUUUUGGAGUUAGUUAGACCAAAAAAAAAGAAAAAUGAAAAAAAAAUAUUUGGGGUGUUCGGGCUUCCUGAAGGUAAUACCCGGGUAUUAGGUUUUGGGGCUUGGGUAAGGUUUAAGGUUUUUGGCGUUAGGGUUAAAAUGACUGUCCAAAACCUUUGUAGGAUCUCUUUUCCAAGCUUUUGGAGUUAGUUAGACCAAAAAAAAAGAAAAAUGAAAAAAAAAUAUUUGGGGUGUUCGGGCUUCCUGAAGGUAAUACCCGGGUAUAAGUUUUGGGGCUAUGGUAAGGUUUAACGUUUUUGGCGUUAGGGUUUAAAUCACUGUCCAAAACCUUUGUAGGAACUCUUUUCCAACCUUUUGGAGUUAGUUAGACCAAAUAAAAAUGAAAAAUGAAAAAAUAUAUAUUUGGGGUGUUUGGGCUUCCUGAAGGUAAUACCCGGGUAUUAAGAGUUGGGGCUAGGGUAAGGUUUAAAGUUUUUGGCGUUAGGGUUAAAAUCACUGUCCUAAACCUUUGUAGGAUCUCUUUUCCAAGCUUUUGGAGUUAGUUGGACCAAAAAAAAAGAAAAAUGAAAAAAAAAUAUUUGGGGUGUUCGGGCUUCCUGAAGGUAAUACCCGGGUAUUAGGUUUUGGGGCUAGGGGAAGGUUUAAGGUUUUUGGCGUUAGGGUUAAAAUGACUGUACAAAACCUUUGUAGGAUCUCUUUUCCAAGCUUUUGGAGUUAGUUAGACCAAAAAAAAAGAAAAAUGAAAAAAGAAUAUUUGGGGUGUUCGGGCUUCCUGAAGGUAAUACCCGGGUAUAAGUUUUGGGGCUAUGGUAAGGUUUAAGGUUUUUGGCGUUAGGGUUAAAAUCACUGUCCAAAACCUUUGUAGGAACUCUUUUCCAACCUUUUGGAGUUAGUUACACCAAAUAAAAAUGAAAAAUGAAAAAAAAUAUAUUUGGGGUGUUUGGGCUUCCUGAAGGUAAUACCCGGGUAUUAAGAUUUGGGGCUAGGGUAAGGUUUAAGGUUUUGGCGUUAGGGUUUAAAUCACUGUCCAAAACUUUGUAGGAACUCUUUUCCAACCUUUUGGAGUUAGUUAGACCAAAAAAAAGAAAAAUGAAAAAAAAAAUAUUUGGGGUGUUUGGGCUUCCUGAAGGUAAUACCCGGGUAUAAGUUUUGGGGCAAUGGUAAGGUUUAACGUUUUUGGCGUUAGGGUUUAAAUCACUGUCCAAAACCUUUGUAGGAACUCUUUUCCAACCUUUUGGAGUUAGUUAGACCAAAUAAAAAUGAAAAAUGAAAAAAAAUAUAUUUGGGGUGUUUGGGCUUCCUGAAGGUAAUACCCGGGUAUUAAGAGUUGGGGCUAGGGUAAGGUUUAAGGUUUUGGCGUUAGGGUUUAAAUCACUGUCCAAAACCUUUGUAGGAACUGUUUUCCAACCUUUUGGAGUUAGUUAGACCAAAUAAAAAUGAAAAAAAAACAAUAUUUGGCUUGUUUUGGCUUCCUGAAGAUAAUGCACGGGUAUUAGGUUUGGGGCUAUGGUAAGGUUUAAGGUUUUUGGCGUUAGGGUUAAAAUCACUGUCCAAAACCUUUUGUAGGAUCUCUUUUCCAAGCUUUUGGAGUUAGUUAGACCAAAAAAAAAGAAAAAUGAAAAAAAAAUAUUUGGGGUGUUCGGGCUUCCUGAAGGUAAUACCCGGGUAUUCGGUUAUGGGGCUAGGGAAAGGUUUAAAGUUUUUGGCGUUAGGGUUAAAAUCACUGUCCAAAACCUUUGUAGGAUCUCUUUUCCAAGCUUUUGGAGUUAGUUAGACCAAAAAAAAAGAAAAAUGAAAAAAAAAUAUUUGGGGUUUUCGGGCUUCCUGAAGGUAAUACUAUUAGGUUUUGGGGCUAGGGUAAGGUUUAAGGUUUUUGGCGUUAGGGUUAAAAUGACUGUCCAAAACCUAUUUAGGAACAUGUUUCAGACCUUUUGGAGUUGGUUACACCAAAUAAAAAUAAAAAAUAAAAAAAAUAUAUUUGGGGUGUUUGGGCUUCCUGAAGGUAAUACCCGGGUAUUAAGAGUUGGGGCUAGGGUAAGGUUUAAGGUUUUUGGCGUUAGGGUUAAAAUCACUGUCCAAAACCUUUGUAGGAACUGUUUUCCAACCUUUUGGAGUUAGUUAGACCAAAUAAAAAUGAAAAAUGAAAAAAUAUAUAUUUGGGGUGUUUGGGCUUCCUGAAGGUAAUACCCGGGUAUUAAGAGUUGGGGCUAGGGUAAGGUUUAAGGUUUUGGCGUUAGGGUUUAAAUCACUGUCCAAAACCUUUGUAGGAACUGUUUUCCAACCUUUUGGAGUUAGUUAGACCAAAUAAAAAUGAAAAAAAAACAAUAUUUGGCUUGUUUUGGCUUCCUGAAGAUAAUGCACGGGUAUUAGGUUUUGGGGCUAUGGUAAGGUUUAAGGUUUUUGGCGUUAGGGUUAAAAUCACUGUCCAAAACCUUUGUAGGAUCUCUUUUCCAAGCUUUUGGAGUUAGUUAGACCAAAAAAAAAGAAAAAUGAAAAAAAAAUAUUUGGGGUGUUCGGGCUUCCUGAAGGUAAUACCCGGGUAUUAGGUUAUGGGGCUAGGGAAAGGUUUAAAGUUUUUGGCGUUAGGGUUAAAAUCACUGUCCAAAACCUUUGUAGGAUCUCUUUUCCAAGCUUUUGGAGUUAGUUAGACCAAAAAAAAAGAAAAAUGAAAAAAAAAUAUUUGGGGUUUUCGGGCUUCCUGAAGGUAAUACUAUUAGGUUUUGGGGCUAGGGUAAGGUUUAAGAUUUUUUGGCGUUAGGGUUAAAAUGACUGUCCAAAACCUAUUUAGGAACAUGUUUCAGACCUUUUGGAGUUGGUUACACCAAAUAAAAAUAAAAAAUAAAAAAAAUAUAUUUGGGGUGUUCGGGCUUCCUGAAGGUAAUACCCGGGUAUAAGUUUUGGGGCUAUGGUAAGGUUUAAGGUUUUUGGCGUUAGGGUUAAAAUCACUGUCCAAAACCUUUGUAGGAACUCUUUUCCAACCUUUUGGAGUUAGUUAGACCAAAUAAAAAUGAAAAAUGAAAAAAAAUAUAUUUGGGGUGUUUGGGCUUCCUGAAGGUAAUACCCGGGUAUUAAGAGUUGGGGCUAGGGUAAGGUUUAAGGUUUUGGCGUUAGGGUUUAAAUCACUGUCCAAAACCUUUGUAGUAACUCUUUUCCAACCUUUUGGAGUUAGUUAGACUAAAAAAAAAGAAAGAUGAAAAAAAAAAAUAUUUGGGGUUUUCGGGCUUCCUGAAGGUAAUACUUUAAUAAUAUUAGGUUUUGGGGCUAGGGUAAGGUUUAAGGUUUUGGGCGUUAGGGUUAAAAUGACUGUCCAAAACCUAUUUAGGAACAUGUUUCAGACCUUUUGGAGUUGGUUACACCAAAUAAAAAUAAAAAAAAAUAAAAAAAUAUUUGGGGUGUUUGGGCUUCCUGAAGGUAAUACCCGGGUAUUAAGAGUUGGGGCUAGGGUAAGGUUUAAGGUUUUGGCGUUAGGGUUUAAAUCACUGUCCAAAACCUUUGUAGGAACUGUUUUCCAAGCUUUUGGAGUUAGUUAGACCAAAUAAAAAUGAAAAAUGAAAAAAAAUAUAUUUGGGGUGUUUGGGCUUCCUGAAGGUAAUACCCGGGUAUUAAGAGUUGGGGCUAGGGUAAGGUUUAAGGUUUUGGCGUUAGGGUUUAAAUCACUGUCCAAAACCUUUGUAGGAACUGUUUUCCAACCUUUUGGAGUUAGUUAGACCAAAUAAAAAUGAAAAAUGAAAAAAAAAUAUUUGGGGUGUUUGGGCUUCCUGAAGGUAAUACCCGGGUAUUAAGAGUUGGGGCUAGGGUAAGGUUUAAGGUUUUGGCGUUAGGGUUUAAAUCACUGUCCAAAACGUUUGUAGGAACUGUUUUCCAACCUGUUGGAGUUAGUUAGACCAAAAAGAAAUGAAAAAUGAAAAAAAAAUAUUUGUGGUGUUCGGGCUUCCUGAAGGAUAAUACACGGGUAUUAGGUUUUGGGGCUAAGGUUUAAGGUUUUUGGCGUUAGGGUUAAAAUCACUGUCCAAAACCUUUGUAGGAACUCUUUUCCAACCAUUUGGAGUUAGUUAGACCAAAUAAAAAUGAAAAAUGAAAAAAAAAUAUUUGGCUUGUUUUGGCUUCCUGAAGAUAAUGCACGGGUAUUAGGUUUUGGGGCUAGGGUAAGGUUUAAGGUUUUUGGCGUUAGGGUUAAAAUCACUGUCCAAAACCUUUGUAGGAACUAUUUUCCAAGCUUUGGGAGUUAGUUAGACCAAAAAGAAAUGAAAAAUGAAAAAAAAAUAUUUGGGGUUUUUAGGGAUUCCUGAAGGUAAUACCCGGGUAUUAGGUUUUGGGGCUAGGGGAAGGUUUAAGGUUUUUGGCGUUAGGGUUAAAAUGACUGUCCAAAACCUAUUUAGGAACAUGUUUCAGACCUUUUGGAGUUGGUUACACCAAAUAAAAAUAAAAAAUAAAAAAAAUAUAUUUGGGGUGUUCGGGCUUCCUGAAGGUAAUACCCGGGUAUAAGUUUUGGGGCUAUGGUAAGGUUUAAGGUUUUUGGCGUUAGGGUUAAAAUCACUGUCCAAAACCUUUGUAGGAACUCUUUUCCAAGCUUUUGGAGUUAGUUUGACCAAAAAGAAAUGAAAAAUGAAAAAAAAAUAUUUGUGGUGUUCGGGCUUCCUGAAGAUAAUACAUGGGUAUUAGGUUUUGUGGCUAGGGAAAGGUUUAAGGUUUUUGGCGUUAGGGUUAAAAUCACUGUCCAAAACCUUUGUAGGAACUCUUUUCCAACCUUUUGGAGUUAGUUAGACCAAAAAAAAUGAAAAAUGAAAAAGAAAUAUUUGGGGUUUUCGGGCUUCCUGAAGGUAAUACUAUUAGGUUUUGGGGCUAGGGUAAGGUUUAAGGUUUUUGGCGUUAGGGUUAAAAUCACUGUCCAAAACCUAUUUAGGAACAUGUUUCAGACCUUUUGGAGUUGGUUACACCAAAUAAAAAUAAAAAAUAAAAAAAAAAUAUUUGGGGUGUUUUGGCUUCCUGAAGAUAAUACCCGGGUAUUAAGAGUUGGGGCUAGGGUAAGGUUUAAGGUUUUGGCGUUAGGGUUUAAAUCACUGUCCAAAACCUUUGUAGGAACUGUUUUUCAACCUUUUGGAGUUAGUUAGACCAAAUAAAAAUGAAAAAUGAAAAAAAAUAUAUUUGGGGUGUUUGGGCUUCCUGAAGGUAAUACCCGGGUAUUAAGAGUUGGGGCUAGGGUAAGGUUUAAGGUUUUGGCGUUAGGGUUUAAAUCACUGUCCAAAACCUUUGUAGGAACUGUUUUCCAACCUUUUAGAGUUAGUUAGACCAAAUAAAAAUGAAAAAUGAAAAAAAAAUAUUUGGGGUGUUUGGGCUUCCUGAAGGUAAUACCCGGGUAUUAAGAUUUGGGGCUAGGGUAAGGUUUAAGGUUUUGGCGUUAGGGUUUAAAUCACUGUCCAAAACGUUUGUAGGAACUCGUUUCCAACCUUUUGGAGUUAGUUAGACCAAAAAGAAAUGAAAAAUGAAAAAAAAAUAUUUGUGGUGUUCGGGCUUCCUGAAGAUAAUACACGGGUAUUAAGUUUUGGGGCUAGGAAAAGGUUUAAGGUUUUUGGCGUUAGGGUUAAAAUCACUGUCCAAAACCUUUGUAGGAACUGUUUUCCAACCUUUGGGAGUUAGUUAGACCAAAUAAAAAUGAAAAAUGAAAAAAAAAAUAUUUGGGGUGUUUGGGCUUCCUGAAGGUAAUACCGGGGUAUUAAGAUUUGGGGCUAGGGUAAGGUUAAAGGUUUUGGCGUUAGGGUUUAAAUCACUGUCCAAAACGUUUGUAGGAACUCUUUUCCAACCUUUUGGAGUUAGUUAGACCAAAUAAAAAUGAAAAAAACAAUAUUUGGCUUGUUUUGGCUUCCUGAAGAUAAUGCACGGGUAUUAGGUUAUGGGGCUAUGGUAAGGUUUAAGGUUUUUGGCGUUAGGGUUAAAAUCACUGUCCAAAACCUUUGUAGGAUCUCUUUUCCAAGCUUUUGGAGUUAGUUAGACCAAAAAAAAAGAAAAAUGAAAAAAAAAUAUUUGGGGUGUUUGGGCUUCCUGGAGGUAAUACCCGGGUAUUAAGAGUUGGGGCUAGGGUAAGGUUUAAGGUUUUUGGCGUUAGGGUUAAAAUGACUGUCCAAAACCUUUGUAGGAUCUCUUUUCCAAGCUUUUGGAGUUAUUUAGACCAAAAAAAAAGAAAAAUGAAAAAAAAAUAUUUGGGGUGUUCGGGCUUCCUGAAGGUAAUACCCGGGUAUAAGUUUUGGGGCUAUGGUAAGGUUUAAGGUUUUUGGCGUUAGGGUUAAAAUCACUGUCCAAAACCUUUGUAGGAACUCUUUUCCAACCUUUUGGAGUUAGUUACACCAAAUAAAAAUGAAAAAUGAAAAAAAAUAUAUUUGGGGUGUUUGGGCUUCCUGAAGGUAAUACCCGGGUAUUAAGAGUUGGGGCUAGGGUAAGGUUAAAGGUUUUGGCGUUAGGGUUUAAAUCACUGUCCAAAACCUUUGUAGUAACUCUUUUCCAACCUUUUGGAGUUAGUUAGACCAAAAAAAAAGAAAAAUGAAAAAAAAAAUAUUUGGGGUGUUUGGGCUUCCUGAAGGUAAUACCCGGGUAUAAGUUUUGGGGCAAUGGUAAGGUUUAACGUUUUUGGCGUUAGGGUUUAAAUCACUGUCCAAAACCUUUGUAGGAACUCUUUUCCAACCUUUUGGAGUUAGUUAGACCAAAUAAAAAUGAAAAAUGAAAAAAAAUAUAUUUGGGGUGUUUGGGCUUCCUGAAGGUAAUACCCGGGUAUUAAGAGUUGGGGCUAGGGUAAGGUUUAAGGUUUUGGCGUUAGGGUUUAAAUCCCUGUCCAAAACCUUUGUAGGAUCUCUUUUCCAAGCUUUUGGAGUUAGUUGGACCAAAAAAAAAGAAAAAUGAAAAAAAAAUAUUUGGGGUGUUCGGGCUUCCUGAAGGUAAUACCCGGGUAUUAGGUUUUGGGGCUAGGGGAAGGUUUAAGGUUUUUGGCGUUAGGGUUAAAAUGACUGUCCAAAACCUUUGUAGGAUCUCUUUUCCAAGCUUUUGGAGUUAGUUAGACCAAAAAAAAAGAAAAAAAGGAAAAAAGAAUAUUUGGGGUGUUCGGGCUUCCUGAAGGUAAUACCCGGGUAUAAGUUUUGGGGCUAUGGUAAGGUUUAAGGUUUUUGGCGUUAGGGUUAAAAUCACUGUCCAAAACCUUUGUAGGAACUCUUUUCCAACCUUUUGGAGUUAGUUACACCAAAUAAAAAUGAAAAAUGAAAAAAAAUAUAUUUGGGGUGUUUGGGCUUCCUGAAGGUAAUACCCGGGUAUUAAGAUUUGGGGCUAGGGUAAGGUUAAAGGUUUUGGCGUUAGGGUUUAAAUCACUGUCCAAAACAUUUGUAGGAACUCUUUUCCAACCUUUUGGAGUUAGUUAGACCAAAAAAAAAGAAAAAUGAAAAAAAAAAAUAUUUGGGGUGUUUGGGCUUCCUGAAGGUAAUACCCGGGUAUAAGUUUUGGGGCUAUGGUAAGGUUUAACGUUUUUGGCGUUAGGGUUUAAAUCACUGUCCAAAACCUUUGUAGGAACUCUUUUCCAACCUUUUGGAGUUAGUUAGACCAAAUAAAAAUGAAAAAUGAAAAAAAAUAUAUUUGGGGUGUUUGGGCUUCCUGAAGGUAAUACCCGGGUAUUAAGAGUUGGGGCUAGGGUAAGGUUUAAGGUUUUGGCGUUAGGGUUUAAAUCACUGUCCAAAACCUUUGUAGGAACUGUUUUCCAACCUUUUGGAGUUAGUUAGACCAAAUAAAAAUGAAAAAUGAAAAAAUAUAUAUUUGGGGUGUUUGGGCUUCCUGAAGGUAAUACCCGGGUAUUAAGAGUUGGGGCUAGGGUAAGGUUUAAGGUUUUGGCGUUAGGGUUUAAAUCACUGUCCAAAACCUUUGUAGGAACUGUUUUCCAACCUUUUGGAGUUAGUUAGACCAAAUAAAAAUGAAAAAAAACAAUAUUUGGCUUGUUUUGGCUUCCUGAAGAUAAUGCACGGGUAUUAGGUUAUGGGGCUAUGGUAAGGUUUAAGGUUUUUGGCGUUAGGGUUAAAAUCACUGUCCAAAACCUUUGUAGGAUCUCUUUUCCAAGCUUUUGGAGUUAGUUAGACCAAAAAAAAAGAAAAAUGAAAAAAAAAUAUUUGGGGUGUUCAGGCUUCCUGAAGGUAAUACCCGGGUAUUCGGUUAUGGGGCUAGGGAAAGGUUUAAAGUUUUUGGCGUUAGGGUUAAAAUCACUGUCCAAAACCUUUGUAGGAUCUCUUUUCCAAGCUUUUGGAGUUAGUUAGACCAAAAAAAAAGAAAAAUGAAAAAAAAAUAUUUGGGGUUUUCGGGCUUCCUGAAGGUAAUACUAUUAGGUUUUGGGGCUAGGGUAAGGUUUAAGGUUUUUGGCGUUAGGGUUAAAAUGACUGUCCAAAACCUAUUUAGGAACAUGUUUCAGACCUUUUGGAGUUGGUUACACCAAAUAAAAAUAAAAAAUAAAAAAAAUAUAUUUGGGGUGUUUGGGCUUCCUGAAGGUAAUACCCGGGUAUUAAGAGUUGGGGCUAGGGUAAGGUUUAAGGUUUUGGCGUUAGGGUUUAAAUCACUGUCCAAAACCUUUGUAGGAACUCUUUUCCAACCUUUUGGAGUUAGUUAGACCAAAUAAAAAUGAAAAAUGAAAAAAUAUAUAUUUGGGGUGUUUGGGCUUCCUGAAGGUAAUACCCGGGUAUUAAGAGUUGGGGCUAGGGUAAGGUUUAAGGUUUUGGCGUUAGGGUUUAAAUCACUGUCCAAAACCUUUGUAGGAACUGUUUUCCAACCUUUUGGAGUUAGUUAGACCAAAUAAAAAUGAAAAAAAAACAAUAUUUGGCUUGUUUUGGCUUCCUGAAGAUAAUGCACGGGUAUUAGGUUUUGGGGCUAUGGUAAGGUUUAAGGUUUUUGGCGUUAGGGUUAAAAUCACUGUCCAAAACCUUUGUAGGAUCUCUUUUCCAAGCUUUUGGAGUUAGUUAGACCAAAAAAAAAAGAAAAAUGAAAAAAAAAUAUUUGGGGUGUUCGGGCUUCCUGAAGGUAAUACCCGGGUAUUAGGUUAUGGGGCUAGGGAAAGGUUGAAAGUUUUUGGCGUUAGGGUUAAAAUCACUGUCCAAAACCUUUGUAGGAUCUCUUUUCCAAGCUUUUGGAGUUAGUUAGACCAAAAAAAAAGAAAAAUGAAAAAAAAAUAUUUGGGGUUUUCGGGCUUCCUGAAGGUAAUACUAUUAGGUUUUGGGGCUAGGGUAAGGUUUAAGAUUUUUUGGCGUUAGGGUUAAAAUGACUGUCCAAAACCUAUUUAGGAACAUGUUUCAGACCUUUUGGAGUUGGUUACACCAAAUAAAAAUAAAAAAAAAAUAUAUAUAUUUGGGGUGUUCGGGCUUCCUGAAGGUAAUACCCGGGUAUACGUUUUGGGGCUAUGGUAAGGUUUAAGGUUUUUGGCGUUAGGGUUAAAAUCACUGUCCAAAACCUUUGUAGGAACUCUUUUCCAACCUUUUGGAGUUAGUUAGACCAAAUAAAAAUGAAAAAUGAAAAAAUAUAUAUUUGGGGUGUUUGGGCUUCCUGAAGGUAAUACCCGGGUAUUAAGAGUUGGGGCUAGGGUAAGGUUUAAGGUUUUGGCGUUAGGGUUUAAAUCACUGUCCAAAACCUUUGUAGUACCUCUUUUCCAACCUUUUGGAGUUAGUUAGACAAAAAAAAAAGAAAGAUGAAAAAAAAAAUAUUUGGGGUUUUCGGGCUUCCUGAAGGUAAUACUUUAAUAAUAUUAGGUUUUGGGGCUAGGGUAAGGUUUAAGGUUUUGGGCGUUAGGGUUAAAAUGACUGUCCAAAACCUAUUUAGGAACAUGUUUCAGACCUUUUGGAGUUGGUUACACCAAAUAAAAAUAAAAAAAAAUAAAAAAAUAUUUGGGGUGUUUGGGCUUCCUGAAGGUAAUACCCGGGUAUUAAGAGUUGGGGCUAGGGCAAGGUUUAAGGUUUUGGCGUUAGGGUUAAAAUCACUGUCCAAAACCUUUGUAGGAACUGUUUUCCAAGCUUUUGGAGUUAGUUAGACCAAAUAAAAAUGAAAAAUGAAAAAAAAUAUAUUUGGGGUGUUUGGGCUUCCUGAAGGUAAUACCCGGGUAUUAAGAGUUGGGGCUAGGGUAAGGUUUAAGGUUUUGGCGUUAGGGUUUAAAUCACUGUCCAAAACCUUUGUAGGAACUGUUUUCCAACCUUUUGGAGUUAGUUAGACCAAAUAAAAAUGAAAAAUGAAAAAAAAAUAUUUGGGGUGUUUGGGCUUCCUGAAGGUAAUACCCGGGUAUUAAGAGUUGGGGCUAGGGUAAGGUUUAAGGUUUUGGCGUUAGGGUUUAAAUCACUGUCCAAAACGUUUGUAGGAACUGUUUUCCAACCUGUUGGAGUUAGUUAGACCAAAAAGAAAUGAAAAAUGAAAAAAAAAUAUUUGUGGUGUUCGGGCUUCCUGAAGAUAAUACACGGGUAUUAGGUUUUGGGGCUAGGGAAAGGUUUAAGGUUUUUGGCGUUAGGGUUAAAAUCACUGUCCAAAACCUUUGUAGGAACUCUUUUCCAACCAUUUGGAGUUAGUUAGACCAAAUAAAAAUGAAAAAUGAAAAAAAAAUAUUUGGCUUGUUUUGGCUUCCUGAAGAUAAUGCACGGGUAUUAGGUUUUGGGGCUAGGGUAAGGUUUAAGGUUUUUGGCGUUAGGGUUAAAAUCACUGUCCAAAACCUUUGUAGGAACUAUUUUCCAAGCUUUGGGAGUUAGUUAGACCAAAAAGAAAUGAAAAAUGAAAAAAAAAUAUUUGGGGUUUUUAGGGAUUCCUGAAGGUAAUACCCGGGUAUUAGGUUUUGGGGCUAGGGGAAGGUUUAAGGUUUUUGGCGUUAGGGUUAAAAUGACUGUCCAAAACCUAUUUAGGAACAUGUUUCAGACCUUUUGGAGUUGGUUACACCAAAUAAAAAUAAAAAAUAAAAAAAAUAUAUUUGGGGUGUUCGGGCUUCCUGAAG
rnacentral:lncRNA from 1 species